rnacentral:lncRNA from 1 species
CGUAUGCCUGAGAUACACCGGGCGCCCACUCCAGCUCCUACUUCUUCGGAUAGUGGGUCAUCUGGGGUACAGAUGCCGCCGCCUCACCUAUUCCUUCCGCAGAUGAUACCGGCCAUACCUGUAGUCGAUGACUCAGGGACGCCGAUUUAUCCACUGCCCCCGCCAGUGGCUCCAUCAGCGGCGUACCGGUUCGUGCCUUUUGAUACGCCUCUUAUUUCUGCGAGGGUAUCAUCAUCGGCGACAGAGACGGAAUCCGUCGCGUCCGCCGCGAGCGCCUCAGGUAAUCAGUGAUGCACGAUUAUUUUUAAAGGGUCUCCGAUUUAAAUAAUCAAUUUGGUUUAUCAUGUGAUAGGCACCGUCGGAGCGAAGCCGACAAAGAAGAAGAGAGGCCCCGUCACAGGGAAGGCUCUCGAGAAGAUCGUGGGUACCGUGGGGAGGAUCGUCAUCAAUACUGACGGGGAUGGCCACAUAGUAUCGGGCGGGAAGUCGAGGACGUACUCCGGCCGCGUGGGAGCGCUCAUUAGGGAUAGAGUCCCUAUGUUGUGGUCAGACUGGGGCGAUGUCCCGCAGGAGGUUAAGGACAUGGUCCACAACGCGAUGUCGGUGAGUUUACAAAAUAAUAUUAUGUAUUACAUUGUUGAUUUCUCGAAAAACUAAACUAAUAAACGGUUAAAUACAGGUGUGGUUUGAGGUUCCCGAGCACCUUAAGGACAGCUGGGCCGACGUUGUGCAUGGAGGAAGGUACGUUGGGAAGUUAAUGAAAAACAAAAUUGUAUGUGAUAUUAAUAAUAUUUCUAAUAUUUUUGUUGUGUCUGUAGGUACAAGGAGUGGAAGAACGAGUUGCGGACCCAUUGGACUACGCACGGGAACGCACGUUCUGGUACCCCUGCUGAGUUCCAGUACAGGGAGUACGAGUGGCGUUGGCUUCUGACAUCAGAAUUCAACAACCCUCGUAAACAGGUAUUUAAAAAAAUUAAUUAGUUAAUUUGUCAUUAAGUACGUCCGUUUUUAAAUAUUUUACUAAUAAUUU